AAGGAAGGGGAGGGGGAACCGCUGGACUUGGCAAGGAGGAGGUAAGGGGAGGAGCUAAACUAUUUUUUAGCGAGUCCUAUUAACAUAAUAGGUCCAGACCUAUUAACAUGGGUCCAGAGGAGAGCCACCCGCAUGAUUAGAGGUCAGAGGAACAGGCCUGACGAGGAGAGGCUGAGAGGCACGGGACUCUUCAGCCUGGAGAAGCACAGGCUCAGGGGUGACUUGGUGGCAGCACAUAAGGGGUGUGCAUUAGGAACUGGGAGAAGGUCUGUUCACCAGGACACCCCAAGGGAAGGCAUAGCCUAACAGUCACAAACUGCUGGAAGACCGUUUUAGACCGGACAUAAGGAAAAACUUCUUUACUGUCUGUGUCGACAAGAGACUGGACUAGAAGUGGUGCAAGCACCUACUCUAGAUACGUUCAAGAAAUGCUUGGAUGCUCACCUUGCUGGGGUCCAUCCGAUGCUCUCGCGAGGUCCCUUCGAGGCCUAACGUGUAUGAAAUCUAUGAAACAAAUCCUAAUUUCUGAAAUCUCUUUGUUUUAGGAAUAGUUUAGGGUGACCUUGACCAACCUUGACUGAAAACUACUUGACUUAGGUUGUUCCCACAACAAAGAAGUGGGCCUCUGAUCACGGAGUAGCUCCAUGCAACUCAUGCAAAGACCAGCUGUGUGUGUUAUCCACUCUACUACUGAGGGAAAAGAGCAUUCAGCGGUUCUUUAUCCGUUCCUGGCAGACAUGGUCUUAAAGUAGCAUCCCCUCCAGCUCCCUUGGAUUCCCAAGCCGUUGACUUUAUGGAUCUGAAAGGAGCUGAAUGUGUAGUGCAUCCAGAGGGUUUCAACAGCAGCAGGCACCUGGGAGUAUGAAAUGGCAGGUUGCUGGGGAGAGCUUGGUGUUUCUCUGAAAUAAUGCCAUGUGCUCUUGACUGUACCUUUGGGUUUCUUGACUGUUUCCACGAUGCUCCUCUGAAAUGAGCCAGGAAUCCUAAGAGACGCCUGUGGUUGAGCCAGGAGGCAUUCAGCUUCCAUUGCUAUUCCCAAACGGUGGCCACUGGGCACAGUCCUGCUGGGUGUAGAGUAGGCACUUGGACUAGGUGAAGCAGGCUGAUCGCCGAAGUAGAAGUGCUGGGAUGCAGCCAAAGGGAGGAUAGAAUGGGCCAAAAAUACCGAGAGGAGAAUAAAUGGACUCGGAUUGGAUUUUUACUGCCAUCACAAACCAAAGUUUUCCUCCUGCAGGAGCCCAGCUGUGGUUGCCAGUCAGGCUUUCAAAGCUUUAAAGCAGGUAGCCUGCAUGGACCUGUGCAGCUGCUGGCGCUCACCUGGGUCCAGUGGGGCCUUGUCAUGGCAUCAGCGCUGCGAGGAAGGAAAUGUUUCCUCCCUCGACGCAGUUUGCUCAUGGAGUCUAAGCAAGGUGAACCUUAUCUCGUGUGUGGGUCCUUAAUUCAGGCCGUUCCUCCAGGCUUGAAAUUUGCUAGCAGGAGCCAAAGCAGCCAGAGACGAGCUGCCUUUUAAAAGCGGGAGGAGAGAAUAAGGAUUAGAAAGCCCUUUGUAAGAAGACUCCCCGUGGAGACCGGUGUAGGGGCAUAGAUGGAGUCUCCCAGGCUAUGCUGAUGUUGGGGGCUGGCAAGUCCCCAGAUGUGCCCCACCACCCUGAGCUCCCUAUUCCCUGCUUGUGCAGACAGCCCAAUGCUAUCAGCCUCUCGCAGUCUGCAAACCUGCCUUUGUCCAUUCGAGCUUUGCUCAGCAGCAUCCUCCCUCCCACCCCCCCAAGAGACUCCAGCUUUGUCCUGGCUGUUGUGUCUUAAAAUGGAGAAACCCAGCUCCUGCCAACAAGGGGAAAUAUCCUCAGCCUGUUUUUUCAGCCAGAUAUUCUGAUUUAAAGGGCUAAGGCCUAGUAUUUGCAAUCCUCCACUGGAUUGCUUGGGGAUGCUCUUUAAAGUGGGGGCUUUACAAAUGUAUUUGCACCAGCAAUGAAUACCCAAAGGUCAGCUUAUGCCCAUAGCCCAGGGAAUUAGAUGGUUAAUAAAUUGCCGCCACAAUAUUGGUUAAGAUCAAAUUCAGACUCAGGUCUUCAUCCUCAAUGAAGCCUUGUGGCACUGCCACUCCGUUAACGCAUGAUGUUGUCUGUGAAGGUUUUAGAGUGAACAGUUGCUGUUUUAACUGGUAUCUUUUUCAAAUUAAAAUUUCUAUUGACAUUAGCAAUUCUUCACCACACCACUGCCAUACCCUAGUGUAAGGUGAGUAGUUUGGAGGUAGAAUUUUUGUAAGGACACAACAUUGAUCAGAUCAACAUUGACCUCCCACUCCGUGCCCCCUUCCUUCCCCCUCCACCCUGGUAGCAACGAAGGAUAUCUCUUGGGGAGGAUGGAAAAAAGCCCAGAGUAAGUCCACAUAAAUAACAAGUCUUGCUACAAUCUAUGAUGCCAUUGACAGCACACUGAUGCAGAUUGGAACUUCCUCAGUGAACAAAACCAUAUUGAAGUGACUUUCGACAGUGUGAAGGAUGUUGGAAAUGAAAAGCUCAGCCUUGCUGAAAGCUGCCUUUUGCCUGGUAAGUGGGUACUUCCUAAGCACAGCAGCCUCUUGUCUCCAUUUGAAUUUUAACUUCUCCCUUUAUGCAGUUUGCUUGUCAGACUUUGCAGGCUGAACUUUGAAAACUUGGCCAAGUCUCUUUAGACCUUUGUGUGUUGUGGGAUGUCUACCUUAUGUCAAUGCUACACUGCAGUCACAGCUUCAGCCUCAAUAAUUAUAAAAUUAACAUUCUCCCAAUGCUGCUCUGACGACACGAUGUGCACUCGGGCAGCUAACUCUUCAUCUUCAAAGUGCCUUUGUGAAAAUUGGUCUCUGCACUGUAACCACAUCACCGUUUCAGACUCCUUUUUAUUGUUCAUGAGCUGACUCCUUUCAGGACUUGCACACCUCUCGAUUUGCAAUGAUCUCUCAAUUUGAAGUACACUUCUCAAUUUGCAAUGAUCAACAAAGGGAUUUUUCCCCCCCCCCACGUUUCCAGAAUUGGAUGGGGUGGUGCAUCUUUUCAGAGGAGUAUUGCCUCCGCUGGUAUGUCUGUGGAGCAAACCACAGUUGCGAGUGUAGCAUGAUGGCUUCAGUUAUCUACUACAGGAAGGAAUAGGAGAAAAGACCCAAAACAAUGAGCUUUUGACUUGUGCAAUCAGAGUGUGAACUCUCUAGGGUCCUCAGGUCCACAUUCAAGUUGCUGAUAUGCUAACGCCAGUGUUGUUCCCUCUGCUACCCUAGUUGUACAUGCUGGUUACAUGAAGGGUCUGACUGUUGCCUCUUGCCCCCCAAGCAGGAAAAUACAGGCCAGCCCAAGAGCGGCAGGUCUUCCUGGGCCUGUGGCCCAUUAGCUUUGCUUGAUCACCCCACAGGUCUCACCUGGCUGAUGGCUGCUGACCUCUGAAACAGAUGCACUCACUUUCUCAUGGAGUGCCCCACUUGGUUUAAGGAGCAGUUUCCAUUUUGAUGCGUGUGAACACAACACUCUUACACAGGGUCCGGAGUGGCAAUGCAGAAACCAGUGGGUUAAACUGCCAACAGCUGCAAGACUGGAUCAGGAACAACACAGCCAAGUAUAAACCUCUCUGGAAAAAGGUUGGGAGAGGGGGUGGUUUGUGAACAAUGCCCUGCUUUCUAUCAGCCCUUCCUGCUGGCCUGGCUCCAGAACAGGUUAAACAUAGACUAUAUGAGACAAAGCACUGUAUCUAAGGAGUAUGGCCUCCGGCAAAAACAGUUUGCUAUUGGCUGGUGAGGGGUGGCCUCGGGGAUCCGAUUGUGCCGGUUUUGGCUGGGAAGAAGAACACUUAUUGCUAAUCUGAAUAGAAUAUGGUGGAGAAAUAAUGAACGGCGAUUGCUAGAGCCAGCUGGGAGCGUGGCAAUAACUUAACGUCAUUGCACAGCCAGCCCCCUUAGCCCGCUUCCAAACAAGUCGACAGCUCCCUUGUCCUGACAUUUACCUGGAUUAGGCACAAUUUCUUUCACUGAUGGCUGUUAACCUCUGUCAAAGGUGGUGCUAGUGGACUGCAGUAGAGGAUCUGUCGUGGUCUCUUCCAGCUCUGCCUUCCUCGGGGGCGUUAAGCGUUGGCUGGAGCCAAGGUUGGGUUUCACGAGGCUGUGCCAAUGCUCCUGCUGGGACUUAAAGCCAGAGGUUGCAGCAUAAACAGCUUUAUCCUUCCACUUAGGGCCAGAUUGACUGUUUGGGGUCAGGAAGGAAUUUUAUCCCAUGGUGAGAUUGGAGAGUUGUGAGCUUAGAAACAAGAGAUCCAGUUUGCCGGUGGGCCUCUAAUGAGCUACCUUAGUUGGUAGUCCUCCAGCGCAGGAAAACUUCAGAGGACUUCCUCUGGAGAGGAAACCUAAAUGAGGCAUGCUGGGGUAUGCAUGUGCAUGAUACCCUAGCAUUGCAAAAUAAUGCUUGCCCUAUCUGUUCAAUGCCCUCUCCUCUAUGCAACUAACUGGCAGCUAAUUAAGCCUCACCACAUCUCAGCAUGUGGGAGAAGGAGGUUGGGAAGGCAGAAAUGGGCAUCAUUUUCAGCUAUCUCUGGAUAGCUGUAGGAUAGCAGAUGUCUGGGGGUCGGACUCGAUGAUCUAUUGAGGUCCCUUCCGACCUUAACAUCUAUGAAUCUGUGUAGGGUGGAGUUGAUCACCGGCUUGGUGAUGCCCUGCAAUGUUAUCUCAGGCUUUCAAGAGAUGCUGCUGCAGUAAAUGCAUGCUUGGGGGGGAGGGAAAAAAAAGGUAACGCUGUGACUUCUGGGCAUGUUUGGCUCUGAGAUGGGGCAUUACUAUCCCUGCUUUUAUAGGGAGAGUGAAAAGCAGUGGCUUCCUAAGGGAUAUGUAUAAAAAUGUGUGCGUCUCAGUGGGCAGGCAGCAGGGAGCUUGCCUGAUUAGAGGGAUUGGGUGCAACUGCACGAGGAACUGAGCAGCUAACUUGGAGUACUGACCCUUAGCAAAUGUAACCAUGGGGAAUUUGGCCUGAGUCCUUAUUGGAAAGGCAGCAACUUUCACCAGGUCUGGCCCCAUUGGGGGGAGACAGGUGGAUAGUAGUCCUGGGGUGGAGCUGGCUCCCUUGUGUAGACAACACUGUGUGGCCUCCCUUUGCAUUGAGCUGGUGCCCAGCAGCACCCCUUGGAGUCCUUGUAGAAACUGUGCUUUAUGAGCUGAGACCUUGAAUCACUUGUUGGCAACUCCUGCUUGUUUUAGUAGCUUAAGCAAGACUAAUUUAGGUGAGGAUAUGUACAGAGCCAAGAAACCUUUCUUCUUCACAUGCCAUGAUGGAAGAGGUUAGCAGCACUUUCAGCUGCUACUAGGCCAGCGAAUCAUUCUUGCUUAGAUGUGGGAGCUCGUUCUGAAAUGGUUUCCUUUGGAAUUUGUAUUUUUUGGAAGAAGCUUAGAAUGAAGUAAAAAUUAAAAAACAAAACAAAAACACUAGCUCAAUUGUAUAAACUGGAGUGAAGAAUAGCCCCUUCCCCCAUUAGCACCACAGUCGGGGGGCAGGUUCCAGUCUGAAUCAAAGCUGCUUUGCAAACAAAACCUCAGUGUGUAAAACUGAUUACAAGGAGAUAGGAAGGGACAUUCCUAAUUGCUGAGUGAGCCGGUUCUGUGACUUGGUUAUACAGGAUCGCAGGAAAGUUGGGCUGAAAGGGAUCUCAAGGGGUCGCAUCUAGUCUAGCCCCUUGCUCGUGGCAGGAUCAUCCAAGCGUCUGUCUGUCUAACCUGCUUCUGAAGACCUCCAAGGAUGGAGAUGCCACCACCUCUCUGGGUUGCCUCUACCCAUACUGAGCCACCCUUACACUUGUUCAAUGAGAGCCCUAAAUACCUGCAUGGCACUGGAAAGUCCCAGCCAUUGCAAUAGGAAUGGAAAUUGUAAGCAGAUGCCAUGAAAGGCACCAGUGAGGGCCUUCUGCUGGGCUCCAGCCCUCCAUCAGCAGCAUCUGCCUGCAGACAAGGGGUGUCUGUGUUUCCCCAGGUUUACGAUGUGGUGCAAUCAGCAGGGCAGAGACGAGGCCAGGAUGCACCCUGUGGUGCUUAGAGAUGUAUAAAGGGCCUUUUUGAGACAGUCGAAUGCUGCAGCUUAUUUGCCUUGGACCGGAGCAGCCUGACUACAGGAGAGUUGUUCAGCUGGCCGGGUUCACUGCUGCAUUAGCAUCAAGGGCACCAUCGCUUCCCCGCGGUUGGAGAAGGGACUGGCCAGACGUGGCCGUUUCAUGACUGGGAGGUUGCUGUGUAUAGCUGUUCUUCUGCAUGGCUGGAAAUCUCCUGUUUUGCUCCUCUGUGCUCACCAUUGGGUGACUAUGGGUAGGGUCUGGAGGCAAAUGAGGGUGCAUGGCAUGAUUCCUCAUAGCAGCCUGGAUUCAGCUCAUGCUUGCAUCCCACUACCUUCUUGUCUCGCGCUCCCAUUUGAGAUCCAGCCCCUCUGCACAAAUCCGAGUCGGCCAGGGGCUGUGGGGCCCUGCUUUCCAGAGAGCCCCUGGGGGCUUCCUCCCCGAGUCCUGUCUAACACCCGCAGCAUUACAAGCGAGCUGCCCAGCAGCUGCAAGCUUGUCUGCCGAGAUUCGGUGACAGUUGGGGAGGAUUACACUAAUGCCUCUUGUUGGGAAAGACCGUGGAGGAAUGGGGCGCAGCGGAUAAGCUGGGCAGUGACAGGAGCUGGUGUCCAGGGGAGGCUCCUGCUCUACUCAGAUGCCAUUUCCUGACCACAAGCCAUGGGUAGUGAUUUAAUACACAAGCUCCUUCGGGGCUGCCAAGGGCUUGUGGUUCCCCUGGCUGGUUUGCUGCAGACAGCACACACAGCUCCCCUUGUGAGUUCAGAUCUGCCUCUUCGAGCAUCCCACGGGCUGGCUGCAGUGCUCACCGGAGCUUGCUUUAUAGCACGAUUGAAAUGUCUAGUUGGGAGGAGCCUUGUGGGUCCCCGAAUCCAGACCUCUGCUACCCCAGGCAACCAGAUCAUUGAAUCCCUUCCCUAAACCUAUCAUCUCUCACCUUAAAACACAUUGCCUCAAAUGGUUUUAUGAACUGUCCCAGAGCCUCACUUUUCUGAUGCUUAGAAACCUAGUUUCCACCUAAAUAUAUUUAUGGCCAGUUUAUACCAAGUUGUUCAGACUGGUAUGGACUUGGGGAGGGGGUUGCCUUCCUCUGUAGUGGGGGCAUCGCCCUCUACCCAGUCUUUUAAGUAUAUAUUAACAACCUUUCAUAGAAGCAGCAUGUUCACUUUCACAUUCAGCUUCACUAGGUCUUUUCCAUCCCUGGAAGGUGUUUUAUAUAAAAGCAAUCCUAUCCUUUCUCAGCCUUCCAAAAGGGGCAUUAGUUCCAUUUUAGGGAUGGCAAAACUGAGACCAGCGUGCAAAGCAAUUUGUGCCGGGCUCCACUGUGGAGUUGUUGCUAGUUCAGCUCAUGUAGGAUGAAACCAAAGCUAGCCAUGCAGCGAUGAGUAACUCAGUGGUGGUUUCCAAUCUCAUAUUUUUCCUACCUGUGUCUUGUCCCGUUCAUCUAGAAAGACCCUCACUGCAGCAUUCAGACCUGCAUUCCCGCUGCACAAUGGGAAUUGUUUCUGGUGAUCCCAUUCAAAGCCAUGCAAACCAGAUGAAGGGCCUGACCUGCAAACUUCAGCCUGUGUGAGGGCUGGAGCUGAGUUUAAUGACCUAAUUGAAAUGCAUCUCCAUCCAUCAAAGCCACAGGCCUGGUCCUCUGGUUUGGGGGUACCAUUUAGCUCAUUUUUGUACGGUGAACCGCUGCUUAAGCUGACCUAAUUAAACAUGGCAUCUGGUUUAUUGCUGCUGCUUUAUUAGGCUUUUAAUUGAAGCAAAUCUCCCUAGCUGGCAUGGCUUCUUCCCUUGGCCCCUUCCUCACUCUUCCCUGCAUUUGCUUUGCAAGUUUUCCUUGCUCCAUGUACUUCUUUUUUUUCCUCAUCUCUGCCAGCAAUAUUUUUCACUCCCAAUUGAGUUGAUGGGAAUAUAGCAGUGUGUGUGUGUUCAAGUCAGUGAUAAACUUAAUUAAUCAGCUCCUGAUGCUAGUUCCCCUGCCCCUUGCAGACAGACAGUAUUGCAUCUAUGUCCACUCCAGACCCCAGGGAAAAUGGGACUUUAGUGAUGGAAGAGACCAGCAGCAGCUGACAUGGAAACCAUCCCUGGGACCCAAUGGCCAACAAGUAGCAGGACCGUACAGGUGUGUGUGCUGGCUCAGACCCACCUGUUGCCAGUCAGGGCUUGAUUGUAUGUGUGCUCCACUUCAGUGGGGUUUUUCAUGUGUGUAAAAUUAGGCUUGUGCAUAAAUCCUUGCACCUAACUUGCACCUAACUCCAUUGGACACCUAAUUACCUUUGUGGGUCCAGGCCUUGGUUGCUUGUUAUCAAGACCUACAAACACAGAGCCCAGGUAACUCCAUGUUUGACUGCUCAAAGCAUUAUUUCGACUCUUUGUUCCAAGUGUGAGUGACUGCUCUCGGUGUGAAGAAAUGCCUCGUGAGCUGGGACCGUGGGCUUCAGGACUAGUUCAAGGGUAGUGGCUGACUCUAAGCUCACUACUGAACUAAGUUGUUCUGCCCCAGAUGAUCGCACCUCCUAUAAUAAGCUGGAUAAGGAUUACACACUUAAUCAAUGGGAAUGCCAUUUACUUAUGUCAUUGCUCGGUUUGCCCCUCAAGGCACCUCCCCAUGCCUCAGAUGUCUAAAAGAGGGCACUGACAUAGAAGUGACCAUGUCCUGUUAAUUUAAACCCUGUCCAUAUUCCUUAGAAGAGGACAAUCCCAAAUGAAUGAGCCACCUUACGGGCAGAAGUACACAGCAUGAGACCCCCCUAAAGCUUUGUGAGAUGCUUUGGGGCAUCACGAGACCCCUAAAGCUUUGUGAGAUGCUUUGGGGCAUCACGAGACCCCCCUAAAGC